rnacentral:lncRNA from 1 species
ACUAGCUCCCAGCUGCCCUCCCCCAGCCCCGACACCCACCAUUCUACUUUCUGUCUCUGUGUAAGACCUGCAUAGUCUGGACAUUUCAGACCAGCAGAACCACACAAUAGCUGUCCUUUUGUGUCGGGCUUAUUUCACUGAGCGUAAUCUCCUCAAGGCUCAUCCACAUUGCAGAACGUGUCAGAAUUUCAUUCUUUUUUAAGGCUGAAUAAUAUUCCAUUGUAUGUUUAGACCACGUUUUGUGUGUCCAUUCAUCACUGCUGGCCAUCUGGGUUGUUUCCACCUCUUGGCCAGUGUGAACCGUGCUGCUGUGAACAUUGGCAAAGACGUGUCUGCUCAAGUCCCUACUUUGAGCUCCUUUGGGUAGAUGCCCAGGAGUAGAAUGGCCCAUCAAAAAUGAAAAAGCAAUUUUAACGUUCAAAAAUCUUUAGCAUGGUACACUUGGAUCUCACCUGAUUAUCUAAAAAAUUAGCGGAGACCAAAAAAUCUCCUCAUUGAUUUCUAACCUGAAUCUCUUCAAACCUCAGGCCUGUUUCUUGGAGAAACUGAUUCAGGGCUGCCAGGCCUCCUUCCGGCUCCCCCAGCAGCAAGGGGGCCGUGGCCAGCUCUGGCCAGUGGGCCGUGAGUGCCGGCGACAUGUGCUCCUUCUGUGGGAGUGUCCUCUCCUCACAGGCACCUGCUGCAAUGGCCACCCUGCAGAGUGAGACUCCAUCUCAAAAAAACAAAAGGGGGUGGGGGGUUAGGGGUGAGAAUCUGUUUUCUUUUGUAACAGGACACAAUUGGAGAAAUUUUACCAAGGCGGGCUGCAUUCCCAGAUGGUUAGUUAGUCUAAGUCACAGGAUGAGAUAGGAGGUCAGCAUAAAAUACAGGUCAGAAAGACCUUGCUGAUAAAACAGGUUGCAGUAAAGGAGCCGGCCAAAACCCAGCCGAGAGUGACCUCCGGUCGUCCUCACUGCUACACUCCCACCAGCGCCAUGACAGUUUACAAAUGCAGUGGCAAUGUCAGGAAGUUACCCUAUAUGGUCUAGAAAGGGGAGGCAUGAACAAUCCACCCCUCGUUUAGCAUAUCAUCAGAAAUAACCAUAAAAAUGGGCAACCAGCAGCCCUCGGGGCUGCUCUAUGGGUAGCCAUUCUUUUCUUCCUUUAAUUCUCUGAUAAGCUUGCUUUCACUUUUCUCCGUGGACUCGCCCUAAAUUCUUUCUUGCACGAGAUCCAAGAACCCUCUCUUGGGGUCUGGAUCGGGACCCCCUUCCUGCAGCACUCUGAAGAGUACUUGUGUCCUGUCUGAGCAUUUCCUCAGUGUACACUUCAGGAUGUGGAAGUAUACAUUGUUAAGGUCCUGUGUGCACACUGGCAGGUUUCCCUUCAGAAAAGGCACACCAAUCUGCACUGCCACCCAGACAGCCUGUGUGGGAACAGCAGCCAUUCGUGGCAUCAGAGGAGACAGAAUCCCCUCUGAUGACACACUCAGGCGGCAUGUGCACCCCCUUGUUCUCUAUGUCCCAGCCAUACUGGGAGAGACAUGACCGGUGGGAUUUCCCAGGAAGCUGACCCAUGGAGCAGCACGGGAAGCACCCUCCUGCUGCUAACGUGCAAAACGGGACACAAGCUAAGCAUGGGUACUUUAGUCAAGAGGUACAGCUCCACCUGGGACCUGGGGACUCAGCCUAGAAGCAGACACAAAACUCUGAAAAAACUGUAAUCCCAGCUACUCAGGAGGCUGAGAUGGGAGGAUCACUUGAGCUAAGGAGUUCAGGCUGCAGUGAGCUGUGGUCACACCUGUGCACUCCAGCCUGGGUGACAGAGCAAGACCCAGUCUCUAAAAAAAAUAAAGAUGAUCAUAAAAAAUCUGAAAAAAAAAAAAAAAAAAAUAGAAAUCUGGGGCAGGGAGGGCAGCAAAAUACAGCCCACUGGCAAACAGGCCCACCAUUUGUGUUUAUAAAUAAAGCUUUAUUGGCACACAGCCACAGCCAUUCAUUUAUAUAUUGUCCACAGCUGCUUUGGUGCUAGAACAGUGGAGUGGUAACACAGAUCAUAAGGACUGAAAAGACUAAAGUAUUUACUCUCUGGCCAGGGACAUUUGCUGACCCCGAUCUAGAGUGUAUGGAGCUAAAUUAGCAUUCAAGGGUAAGGGUGAAAGAACAUCAUUUUCAGAUGUCCAAGCAGUGUACUCCCCACAGAUCUCACUGAAGACAUUGCUAUUGCACUUCAGCAAGAAGGACAUUAAAGCCAGGAGAAAAUAGUAAAAUGUGAAGUAUAACGGGGACCAUAUAAUCACCUCAGCUGCAAGCUCAGCAUCCCCCUUCCAAAGCCGCCUGCAUCCGGUGACUGAUGGAGGUGGGGGACGGAAGCCCAGCCCUCUCAGGCACAUGGGGGCGUUCUGAUGGGUCUUCACUCCAGAUUCCACCCUACCCCUAGGCUGGCAGAGGCGUGGAAUCUCUUCCUCUGCCCAAGCCUGCUGCACUUCCCUUCCCUCCGCAAUGGAUAAUCCGCGGUCACAGCUUGCAUCCGAAGCCCCAUCUCGGCAGCCACCCUCGGGGAACCCACCCCGCAGCACACACUGUUGAAGUCUUUGGUAAAGGGAGCUGGGGUUUUAUUCUUAGUGUGAUGCAAAAGCCACUGGCAGGUUUUGGGCAAAAAAGAGCCGGGAUCUGAUUUAUUAUUUUGUACGACAACUUGAGCUGCUUUGUAGAGAAUCUAUUGGGAGGUAGAGAAAGUUCAAGUGUGGAAGUAGGGGAAGAGAUAAGAGCUUGGUGUACUCAUCCAAGUGAGAUGUAUCGGUGGUGUGGAGUAAGGCAGUAGAUAGGGAUAUGACAGAAAAUGAGGUAUACUGGAUAUAUUUUGAGCAGCGCGCUCUUAAAUACUGGGAGCCUACUGCAAGCAACAUACUAAAUGCCAAAAGUUUCAAGUCAACCUCAUUAAAGACAGGAACAAGGGGCCGGGCAUGGCGGCUCACACCUGUAAUCCCAGCACUUUGGGAGGCCGAGGUGGGUGGAUCACCUAAGGUCAGGAGUUUGAGACACGCCUCGCAACAUGGUGAAACCCUGUCUCUAUUAAAAAUACAAAAACUAGCUGGGCGUGGUGGCGGGCGCCUGUAAUCCCAGCUACUCGGGAGGCUGAGGCAAGAGAAUUGCUUGAACCUUGGAGGCAGAGGAUGCAGUGAGCUGAGAUCGUGCCACUGCACUCCAGCCUGGGCAACAGAAGGAGACUCCGUCUCAAAAAUAAAUAAAUAAAUAAAUAAAUAAAUAAAUAAAUAAAUAAAUAAAUAUAAAUAUAAAUAAAUAAAGACAGGAACAAGGCAACGAGGGCCACCAUCGCUGCUAAAAUUCAACACCAACUCAAGGUAAAUGCAGUGAGACAAGAAAAUGAAAUGUGAAUAAUAGAAAAGAAGAUGCAGAGAAGCCACGGCUGACUGUGCAGUCCCCGAAAAAUAAAGUUAUGUUGACUGAACACAAUUUGAAAUAAGAAAGGAAUUCAGCAAGGUCUGGCAAGACUGGGAGUUUCGGGGCUGAUUAAGGAAGAGGUAUGACCAUGAGGUGGCGCCGGCACACCGUGAGCUUCCUUUGGGCUGCUUUUUGACAGCUGGGACACUUUCCAGAGAGACAGCACUGGGCCACACCCAGAAGGGAGGGAGGGCAAGGGGACUCCGGGAGAAGGGACUCUGUGAGGGCUUACCUAUCUAGGUGAAUCUCUGGGUCAGAAACCUCCAAAGGGCAGCAGCCAUUUGAAGUCUUGACCUCUCUGUAGCCCCUUAUCUGUGGCUGACAGAUGGUGGGUGCAGUGUGGUGGAGUGGGGCAGACUGUGCAAAGCUGGCAGGCUCUAAGUGGCUAACAAUAUGCUUCUCUGGGCUACAUUUAAUGCAAAUGGAUGUGUGAAAAUUUGAGUUUGCUGCUGGCUUGCUUUGAGCUAACAGCCCCGGCCUGCUGUGAAGAAGUGAAAACAUGGGGCCAAUAUGCAGGGCCCACUUUACCCCUUGGAUAUAACAGAAGGUGACCAGGUAUAAAGUCAGCAUAUAAAUACCAAAAGGGUUCCAACACCCAAGCAAUGGCCAGUGUGAGACGUAAUGGAGCAUCCCAUUCACCAAAGCCACAAAACCCACAUAAUACCUGGGAUAACUCUAAAGAAAAAGAUGUGCAGGAACACAGCAAAACCUUUUCUAAAAACCUUUUAAGAAGACAGGAAUAAAAGUAAAUGAUAUCAUUUUUCUGGAAGAGAUGAUUUGAUAUUAUAAAGGUGCUUAAUGCUCCCCCAUUAAUCUAUACAUUUAAUCCUAUCACAGUCAAAAUUCCAACAGAUGUU